GGGGAUAUAGCUCAGUUGGUAGAGUGCUUUCCUCACAUGCAUGAGGCCCUGGGUUCAAUACCCAGCACCA
rnacentral:tRNA from 1 species